UUUUAGAGAGAUAGAGAGAUACAGUGAUCAUAUUCACAUACCUUUUAUUACAGUACAUCAUUAUAAUUGUUCUAUUUUAUUAUUAGUUAUUGUUAAUUUCUUACUGUGCCUAAUGUUUGAAUUAAACUUGAUCCUAGG